CCCUUAGAUGUUCUGGGCAGCACGCGCGCUACAAUGGUCUUCGCAAACGGAUGCAUUCUCGAAGGAGAAUGCCAAUCUUGGAAUCUAUGCCUUGGUCGGGACAGUUGCUUGCAAUUUUUCGACUCGAACCAGGAAUUCCUUGUAAUCGUGAUUCAUCACAUCACGAUGAAUACGUCCCUGCCCUUUGUACACACCGCCCGUCGCUCCUACCGAUUGGAUGAUCCGGUGAGCUAUUCGGACUUUCGCAUUGUCGAUUUUCGGCUUUACGAGGGAAAGUCUCGCGAACCUUAUCAUCUAGAGGAAGGAGAAGUCGUAACA
rnacentral:rRNA from 1 species